rnacentral:rRNA from 1 species
CCUACGGGGGGCAGCAGUGGGGAAUAUUGGACAAUGGGGGCAACCCUGAUCCAGCCAUGCCGCGUGUGUGAAGAAGGCCCUCGGGUUGUAAAGCACUUUCAGUGAGGAAGAACGCCUGGUGGUUAAUACCCAUCAGGAAAGACAUCACUCACAGAAGAAGCACCAGCUAACUCCGUGCCAGCAGCCGCGGUAAUACGGAGGGUGCGAGCGUUAAUCGGAAUUACUGGGCGUAAAGCGCGCGUAGUUGGCUUGAUAAGCCGGUUGUGAAAGCCCCGGGCUCAACCUGGGAACGGCAUCCGGAACUGUCAAGCUAGAGUGCAGGAGAGGAAGGUAGAAUUCCCGGUGUAGCGGUGAAAUGCGUAGAGAUCGGGAGGAAUACCAGUGGCGAAGGCGGCCUUCUGGACUGACACUGACACUGAGGUGCGAAAGCGUGGGUAGCAAACAGGAUUAGAUACCCUUGUAGUC